AACGAACGCUGGCGGCAUGCCUAACACAUGCAAGUCGAACGAGACCUUCGGGUCUAGUGGCGCACGGGUGCGUAACGCGUGGGAACCUGCCCUUAGGUUCGGAAUAACUCCCCGACAGGGGUGCUAAUACCGGAUAAUGUCUUCGGACCAAAGAUUUAUCGCCUUUGGAUGGGCCCGCGUUGGAUUAGCUAGUUGGUAGGGUAAAAGCCUACCACGGCGACGAUCCAUAGCUGGUCUGAGAGGAUGAUCAGCCACACUGGGACUGGGACACGGCCCAGACUCCUACGGGAGGGAGCAGUGGGGAAUAUUGGACAAUGGGCGAAAGCCUGAUCCAGCAAGGCCGGGUGAGUGAUGAAGGCCUUAGGGUUGUAAAGCUCUUUUACCCGGGAUGAUAAUGACGGUACCGGGAGAAUAAGCUCCGGCUAACUCCGUG
rnacentral:rRNA from 1 species